rnacentral:misc_RNA from 1 species
CAUAGGACCAUUUGCAAAUGGACGUGGGGGAACAGGAGCACCAACCGCACCAUUGGCUUGAGGAACACCGGGAAGUGUCGGGGGUCCACUUGCAAACAUGGUGUGAGGCCUGUUUUUCUGGGUACCUGGAUUACUCGAAGCUAAAACCCUCUCAGCAGGGGUUCCAUGACGUUCUCCCUUUGUAUCUUUCUUGUAGGCAUAGGACACCGUGAUUUGGCGAUUGCAAAGAUAUUGACCAUUCAUAGCCUCAAUUGCUGCAUCAGAGGCAUCAAAUGAAUCAUAACUAAUAAAACCAAAACCCCGGGAAUUCCCUGUCUCGGGGUCUCGCAUAAUCUUUGGAUUUGAGACAACAACUCCAAAAGCACUAAAAGUGUCGUAGAGAAGCUUCUCAUCUACAUCAGGAUCAAGGUUCCCAACAAACAAGUUGGCACCAACAUCAACACUCUUUUUAUCUUGUGAUGCCUUAUUUACACGUAUUGGUUUUCCAUAAAGUUUUAUCAUAUUCAGUACCUUUAUUGCAUAGUCAGCAUCUUCUUCACUUCGGAAUUCCACAAAACCGUAACCCUGAUGAGCAUUCGUAACUCUGUCCUUGGGGACAUAAACAUUUACUACUGGACCUGCUUGAACAAACAGCUCCCAUAACAACUCUUCAGAAAUCUGAGGGUCGAGAUUACCGACAUAGGCGGUGGCGUCUUGGUUACGCUCCGCCGCGUGUUGGCCGAGAAGGUUUGCUCCGACCCCCGGAGCUAUUCGUGUCGUCAUACUCCGCUCUCUCUCUUCUCUCUCCUUCUCCG